GAUGAACGCUAGCUACAGGCUUAACACAUGCAAGUCGCGGGGCAGCAUGGGGGUUGCUUGCAACCCCUGAUGGCGACCGGCGCACGGGUGAGUAACGCGUAUCCAACCUGCCCUUCACCACGGGAUAACCCGGCGAAAGUCGGACUAAUACCGUAUGUUGUCCAUUGACGGCAUCCGAUUUGGACGAAGGGCUUGGCGGUGAAAGGAUGGGGAUGCGUCCGAUUAGCUUGACGGCGGGGUAACGGCCCACCGUGGCUACGAUCGGUAGGGGUUCUGAGAGGAAGGUCCCCCACACUGGAACUGAGACACGGUCCAGACUCCUACGGGAGGCAGCAGUGAGGAAUAUUGGUCAAUGGGCGUAAGCCUGAACCAGCCAAGUAGCGUGCAGGAUGACGGCCCUAUGGGUUGUAAACUGCUUUUAUGCGGGGAUAAAGUGGCCCACGUGUGGGCUUUUGCAGGUACCGCAUGAAUAAGAACCGGCUAAUUCCGUG
rnacentral:rRNA from 1 species